UCUUCCCUCUGUCGGCGUGCUUAACACAUGCAAGUCGAACGAUGAAGCCCAGCUUGCUGGGUGGAUUAGUGGCGAACGGGUGAGUAACACGUGAGUAACCUGCCCUUAACUCUGGGAUAAGCCUGGGAAACUGGGUCUAAUACCGGAUAGGAGCGUCCACCGCAUGGUGGGUGUUGGAAAGAUUUAUCGGUUUUGGAUGGACUCGCGGCCUAUCAGCUUGUUGGUGAGGUAAUGGCUCACCAAGGCGACGACGGGUAGCCGGCCUGAGAGGGUGACCGGCCACACUGGGACUGAGACACGGCCCAGACUCCUACGGGAGGCAGCAGUGGGGAAUAUUGCACAAUGGGCGCAAGCCUGAUGCAGCGACGCCGCGUGAGGGAUGACGGCCUUCGGGUUGUAAACCUCUUUCAGUAGGGAAGAAGCGAAAGUGACGGUACCUGCAGAAGAAGCACCGGCUAACUACGUG
rnacentral:rRNA from 1 species